AGAAGCAGCAGGUCAUGGAGACCUCAGUGUAAUGGCAACCCCGCCACAAAGCAAAGCAGCUCAUGGACUGACCAAGAAAAGCAAACCAAAACCUGGGAUCAGUAUGAUGCCAACAACAAUCAUGUAGACGGAGGCCUGGAAAGGAUCACACCCCCCCUCAAGACCGUGACCUCACAGCAUAAUCACAUCCCUACUCUGAAGACCAUAAAAAAUGGGCCAAGGAACACAAACCCAGCAAACGUGGUAGAGUUAAGGCGCCAGCAGUCUAAUUCU